GUUUUUGGGGUCGUUUUUGGGGUCCCCUCACCAGGAAUGGGGCGGCGCAGUGCCUUUGGGUUCAUUUAGGGUCGUUUUAGGGUCCCUUUUGGGGCCAUUUAGGACCAUUUUGGGGCCAUUUGGGUCCAUUUAGGACCAUUUAGGGCCAUUUUAGGGCCAUUUGGUGCCAUUUAGGGUCAUUUUAGGGCCAUUUAGGGUCAUUUAGGGUCCUUUUAGGGUCGUUUUUGGGGUCGUUUUUGGGGUCCCCUCACCAGGAAUGGGGCGGCGCAGUGCCUUUGGGUUCAUUUAGGGUCCAUUUUGUCCCCAUUUUGGUCCAUUUAGGGUCCCUUUUGGGGCCAUUUGGGUCCAUUUAGGGUCCAUUUUAGGACCAUUUAGGACCAUUUAGGACCAUUUAGGGCCAUUUAGGGCCAUUUAGGGACCAUUUAGGGCCAUUUGGGGCCAUUUAGGGCCAUUUAGGGUCAUUUAGGGUCCUUUUAGGGUCGUUUUUGGGGUCGUUUUUGGGGUCCC
ensembl:lncRNA